AGCCAGUGUGGAGCAGUGGUUAGCUUGUUGGCCUAGGACCUGGGAGACCAAGAUUCAAAUGCUUGCUUGGCCA